UAGCUACUCCCUCCGUUCCGAAUUACUUGUUUGUCUAGAUACAGAUAUAUCUAAACUCAUUUUAGUGCUAGAUACAUCCGUAUCUAGACAAAUCUAAGACAAGUAAUUCGGAACGGAGGGAGUACCUC
rfam:Triticum aestivum genome assembly, contig: Triticum_aestivum_CS42_TGACv1_scaffold_320871_4BL